rnacentral:rRNA from 1 species
GACGAACGCUGGCGGCGUGCCUAAUACAUGCAAGUAGAACGCACAGUUUAUACCGUAGCUUGCUACACCAUACACUGUGAGUUGCGAACGGGUGAGUAACGCGUAGGUAACCUGCCUGGUAGCGGGGGAUAACUAUUGGAAACGAUAGCUAAUACCGCAUAAUAUUGAUUAUUGCAUGAUAAUUGAUUGAAAGAUGCUAUUGCAUCACUACCAGAUGGACCUGCGUUGUAUUAGCUAGUAGGUGAGGUAACGGCUCACCUAGGCGACGAUACAUAGCCGACCUGAGAGGGUGAUCGGCCACACUGGGACUGAGACACGGCCCAGACUCCUACGGGAGGCAGCAGUAGGGAAUCUUCGGCAAUGGACGAAAGUCUGACCGAGCAACGCCGCGUGAGUGAAGAAGGUUUUCGGAUCGUAAAGCUCUGUUGUAAGAGAAGAACGGGUGUGAGAGUGGAAAGUUCACACUGUGACGGUAUCUUACCAGAAAGAGACGGCUAACUACGUG